UGGGGAAUUUUGGACAAUGGGCGAAAGACUGAUCCAGCAAUGCCGCGUGUGUGAAGAAGGCCUUCGGGUUGUAAAGCACUUUUGUCCGGAAAGAAAUCCUUGGCUCUAAUACAGUCGGGGGGAUGACGGUACCGGAAGAAUAAGCACCGGCUAACUACGUGCCAGCAGCCGCGGUAAUACGUAGGGUGCAAGCGUUAAUCGGAAUUACUGGGCGUAAAGCGUGCGCAGGCGGUUUGCUAAGACCGAUGUGAAAUCCCCGGGCUCAACCUGGGGAACUGCAUUGGUGACUGGCAGGCUAGAGUAUGGCAGAGGGGGGUAGAAUUCCACGUGUAGCAGUGAAAUGCGUAGAGAUGUGGAGGAAUACCGAUGGCGAAGGCAGCCCCCUGGGCCAAUACUGACGCUCAUGCACGAAAGCGUGGGGAGCAAACAGGAUUAGAUACCCUGGUAGUCCACGCCCUAAACGAUGUCAACUAGUUGUUGGGGAUUCAUUUCCUUAGUAACGUAGCUAACGCGUGAAGUUGACCGCCUGGGGAGUACGGUCGCAAGAUUAAAACUCAAAGGAAUUGAC
rnacentral:rRNA from 1 species